rnacentral:rRNA from 1 species
UACAGAGGGUGCGAGCGUUAAUCGGAGUUACUGGGCGUAAAGGGCGCGUAGGCGGUUAUGUAAGUGAGAUGUGAAAUCCCUGGGCUUAACCUAGGAGCUGCAUCUUAUACUGUAUAGCUGGAGUACUGUAGAGGGUGGUGGAAUUUCCGGUGUAGCGGUGAAAUGCGUAGAGAUCGGAAGGAACAUCAGUGGCGAAGGCGACCACCUGGACAGAUACUGACGCUGAGGCGCGAGAGCGUGGGGAGCAAACAGG